rnacentral:rRNA from 1 species
UAUCUCUGUAGAGUCUGCAUAUCAAUAAGCGGAGGAAAAGAAACUAACUAGGAUUCCCUCAGUAACGGCGAGUGAAGCGGGAAGAGCUCAAAUUUGAAAUCUUCAAGGCUUUUACCUUGACGAAUUGUAGUUUAAAGAAGUGUUUUCUGUUGGAGUUUUGGUAAAAGUUCUUUGGAAUAGGACAUCAUAGAGGGUGAGAAUCCCGUAUUUGACCAUUAUUUCCAGCUUUGUGAUACACUUUCAAAGAGUCGGAUUGUUUGGGAAUGCAGUCCAAAAUGGGUGGUAAAUUUCAUCUAAAGCUAAAUAUUGGCGAGAGACCGAUAGCGAACAAGUACCGUGAGGGAAAGAUGAAAAGAACUUUGAAAAGAGAGUUAAACAGUACGUGAAAUUGUCAAAAGGGAAGCGUUUGACACCAGUGUUGUUUCUACGAAAAUCAAUUUAUGAUGGCUUGAUGCUAAGCUUUAAGACUUUAUCCGCUUGUUGUUUAGUUUUCUUGUCUUUGUGAAUGCACUUUUCGUGGAACAAGUCAACAUCAAUUUCUUUUGCUGUAAAAGGGUAAGAGGAAGGUGGCUUCGGCUUCGGUUGAAGUGUUUAUAGCCUUUUAUCUCUGCAGUCGGAGAGAUUGAGGUCUGCAGCGUAGACUCUUCGGGGUUAGAUACGUCGGUGCUAAGCUAUAGCUUUUCAUAGACAACUUGUUGACUAUGUUUAGUCAUGUGGCUUACCCGCUGGCGCUAUUUUACCUACGCUUAGGAUGUUGAGUCAUCACACAUCUCU